AUCACCUUUCUGCAACCGCGCACUUAUAACUGCCCAUAAAUUAGAUACUGCUCAGAACCAAAAUCUCUCCCCAUUCCCGCUACUCUCCAUCUGAGCUUGGAGUUGGAGAGAAGUCCGACGCCGACGAUCGUUGUAGCAAACACACCGAAGAUUGAUUGAUAUUUCGAGAACGAGGGAAGUUGUUCCGAGUGAGUAACAACUUAAUCGGAAUUAUGAAGUUCGCGGUCUUUUUGUUCUCGAUUCUAAUCUUGGCCAGACUCAUAGGUGCGUGAUACAUGUCUCAUGGCUUCUCUGGAUUUACCUCUGCAUGUUGUUCCUCCUCUAUGUUCUUCUUUUCUGCCUCAUGAUCCUCGCUUUCGUGGUGACUAACAAGAGUGUAGGAGAGGUUUUGUCGUAUAAAGGGUAUAAGGAGUAUAAAUUAGGGGACUAUUCAAAUUGGUUGCAGAAGAGGGUUAACAACAACAUAAACUAGCACAAGAUCAAGAGUUGCUUGAUGAAUAGUUAUGUCUGCAAUAGCCUUAGCGAUGCCAUCGACACAGUUGAACAGUUUUAUGCUCGGCACUUAUCAUCGAUUCAGGUGUGUCACGUCAUUCCCUUGUUCAUAUCGUUUUAUUUAUUCUGUGUGUACAAAUCUAAAUGUGGGUACUUUUAUUUUUUAUUUUUUCAGAAUUCGUUUCAUCUAUAUCAGCUUUUUUUUCUUCCUUUUUCUUUAUCAACUUUAGGGAUUUUGAUCUUGAAACUUUUUGGUAGAUCCCCUCCCAAUUUUGGAUUUCCUACCUUUAUCUUCCUGUUUCACAACAUUAUUCCUUGAAACAGACAUUUGAGAAAAUUUCCUUCACUCCUUGGUACAAAUUACAGUUGGUUUGGGUAUCUACCAUCUAUCACCACGACAGUAUGACCGAACUUUCAUUGCAUUUUUGUAACUGGUUUUAUUAAAAAACUACUGAUUGAAACAUUAAUUUUCUUUUUGACUGAUUGCUCAACAUUGGGUUUGUAAAAUAUUGGUUUUUGUUAAUUUUUUUGCUAUUUCAAUUUUGAUAUCUCAAUCUUUCCUGAGAUCCCAUUUAGAUUAUAAGUUCAGUUUUCUGCAAUUCACUUGGCCAGAAUGUUGUCCUCUGUUUUCAAGUGUUGAGCCAUGAAAAUGGCUCAUGAUAUGAGCCAUCAGUUUUCUAUCCCUCUUGUCUAAGCACAUAGCGGGCAUAAAGAUGUCCUUUACUCUCACUUCAGAAAUUGUCCACUCAUAAUUGUUCAAAAACUACUCAUGAAUUAUAAAUAAUUUUGUCUUGGAGCUGCCACGUGCAAAUAGGUUUCUCCCUCACACCCUCACUCAAUCAGUUUCUCUCUCAAAUACGAAGGUAUUUCGCGUCUUUCUAUGAAAUCACUGUGUGAACAAACGUUGAAUCAAUGAAAGUACCGAGUCCUAAACAGUAACUAUAUAUUCCUUUCAACCCGUCGUUGAUCUCUCUCUCUGUUCCUAUUAUGUUUUUCUUAAUCUCAGAUGCUUUUGUAGUAGAUUGAUUGAUAUUUCGAGAACGAGGGAAGUUGUUCCGAGUGAGUAACAACUUAAUCGGAAUUAUGAAGUUCGUGGUCCUUUUGUUCUCGAUUUCGAUCUUAGGAGGUGGAAUAUGGCUGGCAAAUAGAGCGAGCACUGAUAGUGAGAAGUUCCUCGAGAAAUCCAUUAUUUCUUUGGGGGUGUUUCUCAUGUUUGUGUCUCUCGCCGGACUCAUAGGUGCGUGUUACAAGAAGAAGGUUAACAACAACAAAAAUUGGAACAAGAUCAAGAGUUUCUAGAUGAAUAGUUAUGUCUGCAAUAGCCUCAGCGAUGCAACCAACACAGUUGAACAGUUUUAUGCUCGGCACUUGUCAUCGAUUCAGGUGUGUAACAUCAUUUCCUUGAUAAUAUCGUUUUAUAUAUUAUUUGUGUAUAAAUUUGAAUGUGGGUACUUUUAUUUUUUUUCGGAUUUUGGUUUUGAUUUUUUGUUUUCUAAGCAUUUGCCAUAAUUUCUCAAAGAAGCAGAAUCUGUUUCAUCUAUAUCUGUUUUUUUUUUCUUCCUUUCUCUUUAUCAACUUUAGGGAUUUUGAUCUUGAAACAUUUUGGUAGAUCCCCUCCCAUUUUUGAAUUUCCUACCUUUUUCUUCCUGUUUGAUAGCAUUAUUCCUUGAAACAGACAUUUGAGAAAUUUUCCUUCACUUCUUGGUAGAAAUCACAGUUGGUUUGGGUAUCUACCAUCUAUCACCACGAUAGUAUGACUGAAUUUUCACUGCAUUUUUGUAACUGGGUUUAUUAGAAAACUACUGAUUGAAACAUGAAUUUUCUUUUUGAUUGAUUGCUCAACAUUGGGUUUGUAAAAUAUUGGUUUCUGUUAUUUUUCUUGCUAUUUCAAUUUUGAUAUCUCAAUCUUUCCUGUGAUCCCAUGUAGAUUAUAAGUUCAGUUUUCUACAGUGCACUUUGCCAGAAUGUUGUCCUCUGUUUUCAAGUGUUGAGCCAUGAAAAUGGCUCAUGAUAUGAGCCAUCAGCUUUCUAUCCCUCUUGUCUAAGCACACAGCGGGCACAAAGAGAGCAUAUAUGUCCUUUACUCUCACUUCAGAAACUACCCACUUAUAAGUUUUAACCGUUUAGAAACUACCCAUGAAUUAUAAAUAGUUUUAUCUCAGAGAUACUGCCACGUGCAAAUGCACGUACACGUUUACUGCCCCUACUUAGUCUCUCACUUUCAGGAAUUUUCACUAGACACAUUCUACCUCCACCUGUUUAUGUAUACAGAGGGCAUAUAUGUCCUUUACUCUUGCUGUAAUAGAAACCGAAAAAAUGGUUGUAUCUCCCACAACCUCUUCCCUGUCUCCCACAAACUCUUCCCACCAACUGCCCCUCUAACUGUAAAACCAGCAGUUUUAUCUCCCAUAAAAUCUUUCCUGCAAACCGUUUUAUCUCCCACAAACUAUUUCCUGCAAUUAAAUUCCCACCAUAAUCGAAACCCGAACAUAACAAAAUUUACAACUUUAUACUGUCUAGGAGGGUGGAACUAUAGUGGAACUAUAGCGAAUUUCGGAUAUAUGAGAGAUGACUUGGGAGGGGGUGUGACUCUGCUGAUGAACCCUCUAUCGUUAGCUUUGAAUUUUGUGACUCUACUGAUGAACAAUAUGUUCCUGAUUCAUUGACGGAUUUGGAGUCUAAUCAGACAGUUCCAUGUGAUUUACCCUCAUCAUCACAGGGCCACCAUGUAAGAAAAAACGCGAGUUCAAGUGGUAGAUAUCAUAAGAAGGUUAGCUUCUGGGAUUUGGACCCAGAGUUCAACCACAUAUUGGAGUGGUGAAAAUGAUGGGGAGCAUUCAGACAUCAUUGAACCACCACCAUUUCAUGAACACUCUGUUGCAUCGGAAGGAAGAGAACAAUUGAGAUUUCCAUGUGCCAGGAAUCGUCCUCAAGUGAGAGGGUGCAAAACAAUUAUUGAUAUGCUCAUGCAAAUGGAGCACAAGAGGCAAAGGGAGCUUACCGAGUUACCAUGCUGGUUGAGCACCACGCAGUAUCAAGGUUCCCACAACAAGGUCGCAUUCCGGUGAACAUAGAACUAAUUAGGGUCCGUUUGGUUCUUGGAAUCAGAUGAAAUGGCAUUUCCUUCGAAGGGAGGGAGAGGGAAUGGCCAUUCCCUGAAAUGGGAAUGGAAAUGGAAUUCUAAUUCCAUCCAACCAAACAGUUGGAAUUCCACUAUUCCAAUUUUGAUUCCAUACCCCUAUUCCUAUGAAUCAAAUGGGCCCUCACUUCUCUUUUUGACAAUUGUUCUUCUUCCAUUUGUACACUAUAUUGACUUCUUGUAUGUCAAUACAUGUUUAGUCAUUGCUCUCAGACUUAGAUUCUGAACAGAAUCAAAUUCAACCAGUUUGAUUCUUCUGAUGAUGAAGCUGAGUCAAGUUCUACUGAUGAUGAACCAGUUUUCAAUAAGCAUAGAUUGAUUUCUGAUUGGAUUUUGCCCAAAUCCAAUGAAUUAGGUGAAAUCACCGGAUGCCAACUGAAGGGAAGACAUGCUUCUGUUACAGGGGUUGAUUUUAAAGCUAAGAUAGCUAAUAAAAUGCAUACAAGAUUGAACAAGAAGGGACAUGAUUCAGUAUACAGGGAGAUGAGGGGGAAAUUUUGUGAGGAAGACCAUAGAAAGAAGAACAACAACAUUGAGCAAGAGACAACCACACUCAGUGAUGCUUGUGCUUUCAUGAAUUCCAUAAUAGAGGAGUUGAAAGUUGCGAGAGAGAAAAUGCUUUAAUGGAUGAUAGAGGAGAUGAGAAGGGUCAUGGCUGAUGAUGAUGUUCUAGAGCGAAAUGACAUAACAGGCAAUCAUCAACAGGAUAUGAUCAAAGUACAGUCUCAGAACAGCCCUGAGUUAGGAUCAGAGGCCCAAGCUUGCAAAUGGGAAGCCUUGGUGAGGCCCAAGCAAAAAUGGAUCUUGCGGAUCAAGAUCAAAGGCAUCCAGAUGCUGAACAGAACCAAAUUCAGCAAAGAACUUCCAUCAGGUUUCUAAGGUACAAUUAAUGUUAUUUUAACUUUUGUUUCAACAGGAUGUUCAUGUAAUGUUGGAAGAUCACUCAAUUUACAUUUGUUUAAGUUCUUUUUUGUGUCUGUCAUGUAUCUACCCAAAGCUUUCCAAGGCUAAAAAUAAGAUAAAUCAGAUAAAGAAGCCAUCUGACUAGUAUCUUCCUCUUGAUAAUUAAGAAAAAUCAGCUACCAAUAAUGGAAAACAACUCCAACUAUGGAGUGGUCCCAAUUAGGGUGUCUUAUUGUUAGGCCAAGUCCUAAGCUCAAAGAUUAGUGGGAACAUGAGCAAGGUUUAUUUAGAAAAAAUAUACAGGUUUAAUGGAGUCCAGGGUGGCUCAUCAUGUAUGGUGCAUGAAGUCUUCCAACCUUGAACUCUAAACAACAGAAAUUUCCGGUUCAAUAGAUGGUUUAUCCUACUCUAAAAUUGUGGGAGUCCCUUUAAAUGGAUAUUCAUGUUCUUGCUAUUGAGCUUAGUGUUAUUUUUUUACUGGGCCAAACAUUUUCACUCACUGGAGUAGAUUUUGCUG